rfam:Sorghum bicolor cultivar BTx623 chromosome 1, whole genome shotgun sequence.
GUGGUUGUAUUCACAUCAAUCCAUGUGUAUUAGGGUGGAUUGAAGUGGAAGUUGAACUAAAUUUUACCUCAAUCCACCGCAACCCAUGUGGAUUGAGGCGAAUCCAACA